AAUAGAUACCCGGGUAGUCCACGCCGUAAACGAUGGGUGCUAGGUGUGGGGGGUGUCGACUCCCUCCGUGCCGAAGCUAACGCAUUAAGCACCCCGCCUGGGGAGUACGGCCGCAAGGCUAAAACUCAAAGGAAUUGACGGGGGGCCCGCACAAGCAGCGGAGCAUGUUGUUUAAUUCGACGCGACGCGAAGAACCUUACCAAGGCUUGACAUGCACGGGAAUGUCGUAGAAAUACGGCAGCCCUUCGGGGCUCGUGCACAGGUGGUGCAUGGCUGUCGUCAGCUCGUGUCGUGAGAUGUUGGGUUAAGUCCCGCAGCGAGCGCAACCCCUGUCCUAUGUUGCCAGCGUGAAAGACGGGGACUCAUAGGAGACUGCCGGUGACAAAUCGGAGGAAGGUGGGGAUGACGUCAAGUCAUCAUGCCCCUUAUGUCUUGGGCUACAAACGUGCUACAUUGGCCGGUACAAAGGGCUGCAAACCCGCGAGGGUGAGCGAAUCCCAAAAAGCCGGUCCCGGUUCGGAUUGGAGGCUGAAACUCGCCUCC
rnacentral:rRNA from 1 species